UACGUAGGGGGCAAGCGUUGUCCGGAUUUAUUGGGCGUAAAGAGCGUGUAGGCGGCCACACAGGUCUGCUGUGAAAACUCGAGGCUCAACCUCGAGCUGUCGGUGGAAACCGUGUGGCUAGAGUCCGGAAGAGGAGAGUGGAAUUCCCGGUGUAGCGGUGAAAUGCGCAGAUAUCGGGAAGAACACCCGUGGCUAAGGCGGCUCUCUAGUACGGUACUGACGCUGAGACGCGAAAGCGUGGGGAGCGAACAGG
rnacentral:rRNA from 1 species